AUUGAACGCUGGCGGCAGGCCUAACUUAUGCAAGUCGAGAGAGCGGCGGACGGGUGAGUAAUGUCUGGGAAACUGCCUGAUGGAGGGGGAUAACUACUGGAAACGGUAGCUAAUACCGCAUACCAUCAGAUGUACCCAGAUGGGAUUAGCUAGUAGGUGGGGUAAUGGCUCACCUAGGCGAUGAUCCAUAGCUGGUCUGAGAGGAUGACCAGCCACACUGGAACUGAGACACGGUCUAGACUCCUACGGGAGGCAGCAGUGGGGAAUAUUGCACAAUGGGCGCAGGCCUGAUGCAGCCAUGCCGCGUGUGUGUAGAAUGCCUUCGGGUUGUAAAAAACUUUCAGCGGGGAGGCGUUACCCGCAGAAGAAGCACCGGCUAACUCCGUGCCAGCAGCCGCGGUAAUAC
rnacentral:rRNA from 1 species